AUUGAACGCUGGCGGCGUGCCUAACACAUGCAAGUCGAGCGGCAGCGCGGGGAAACCUGGCGGCGAGCGGCGGACGGGUGAGUAACGCUUGGGAAUCUGCCUGUUAGUGGGGGACAACCCGGGGAAACUCGGGCUAAUACCGCAUACGCACUACGGUGGAAAGCCGGGGACCGCAAGGCCUGGCGCUAACAGAUGAGCCCAAGUCGGAUUAGCUAGUUGGUAGGGUAACGGCCUACCAAGGCGACGAUCCGUAACUGGUCUGAGAGGACGACCAGUCACACCGGAACUGAGACACGGUCCGGACUCCUACGGGAGGCAGCAGUGGGGAAUAUUGGACAAUGGGGGAAACCCUGAUCCAGCGACGCCGCGUGGGUGAAGAAGGCCUGCGGGUUGUAAAGCCCUUUUCAGUGGGGAAGAAAAGCUUCGAGCUAACAUCUCGGAGCGUUGACGUAACCCCAUAAAAGAAGCACCGGCUAACUCUGUGCCAGCAGCCGCUAGU
rnacentral:rRNA from 1 species